CCUACGGGUGGCAGCAGUGGGGAAUAUUUCGCAAUGGGCGAAAGCCUGACGCAGCGACGCCGCGUGAGGGAUGAAGGUCUUCGGAUCGUAAACCGCUGUCAGCAGGGAAGAACGGUCACUGUGCUAAUCAGCAGUGAAUUGACGGUACCGGCAAAGGAACCACCGGCUAACGCAGUGCCAGCACCCGCGGUAACACGGCGGGUGCGAGCGUUAUUCGGAGUUACUGGGCGUAAAGCGCUCGUAGGCGGUAUGUCAAGUCAAGGGUGAAAUCCCCGCGCUCAACGUGGGAACUGCCUUUGAAACUGGCAACCUGGAGUGUGUGAGAGGAUAGUGGAAUUCCAGGUGUAGGAGUGAAAUCCGUAGAUAUCUGGAGGAACAUCAGUGGCGAAGGCGACUAUCUGGCACAUAACUGACGCUGAGGAGCGAAAGCGUGGGUAGCAAACAGGAUUAGAUACCCCGGUAGUC
rnacentral:rRNA from 1 species